rnacentral:rRNA from 1 species
UACAGAGGUCUCAAGCGUUGUUCGGAUUCAUUGGGCGUAAAGGGUGCGUAGGCGGCGCGGUAAGUCGGGUGUGAAAUUUCGAGGCUUAACUUCGAAACUGCAUUCGAUACUGCCGUGCUUGAGGACUGGAGAGGAGACUGGAAUUUACGGUGUAGCGGUGAAAUGCGUAGAUAUCGUAGGGAAGACCAGUGGCGAAGGCGGGUCUCUGGACAGUUCCUGACGCUGAGGCACGAAGGCCAGGGGAGCAAACGGG